GACGAACGCUGGCGGCGUGCUUAACACAUGCAAGUCGAGCGUUAAGGCACCUUCGGGUGUACACGAGCGGCGAACGGGUGAGUAACACGUGAGUAAUCUGCCCUUCACUUCGGGAUAACCGCCGGAAACGGUGGCUAAUACCGGAUACGACGCGCUUUCGCAUGAGAUGCGCGUGGAAAGUCUUAUCGGUGGAGGAUGUGCUCGCGGCCUAUCAGCUUGUUGGUGAGGUAACGGCUCACCAAGGCUUCGACGGGUAGCCGGCCUGAGAGGGUGACCGGCCACACUGGGACUGAGAUACGGCCCAGACUCCUACGGGAGGCAGCAGUGGGGAAUAUUGCACAAUGGGCGCAAGCCUGAUGCAGCGACGCCGCGUGAGGGAUGACGGCCUUCGGGUUGUAAACCUCUUUCAGCACCGACGAAGCGCAAGUGACGGUAGGUGCAGAAGAAGGACCGGCCAACUACGUGCCAGCCGCCGCCGUAACAC
rnacentral:rRNA from 1 species